UACGGAGGGGGCUAGCGUUGUUCGGAAUUACUGGGCGUAAAGCGCGCGUAGGCGGAUCUGCAAGUCGGGGGUGAAAUCCCGAGGCUCAACCUCGGAACUGCCUUCGAUACUGCGGGUCUCGAGUCCGGGAGAGGUGAGUGGAAUUCCUAGUGUAGAGGUGAAAUUCGUAGAUAUUAGGAAGAACACCAGUGGCGAAGGCGGCUCACUGGCCCGGUACUGACGCUGAGGCGCGAAAGCGUGGGGAGCGAACAGG
rnacentral:rRNA from 1 species